rnacentral:lncRNA from 1 species
AGAGUGAAGGCGGCGCAGACCCAGGGAAGCCAAACGAGGAUGACCCAGUCUGGGUGGACCCCCUGCUGCUGCCAAGCGCUUCGAAGCCUUAAUUCAUUUAAGGCUCACAACCCUAAUCCUUAGAUUAACACAACUGGAUUCUGAAGAGGGGAAAAAACAACCUCACUUAACACGUCUUUCUGAAACAAACCCAUCAGGAGUUCUUUUAAAAAAAAAAAAAAAAAAAAAAGGAACUGAAAUGCUGGAAGCACCCUCAAAGGGAAGCAGACGCCUGACUUUCACAUCCACCCUCUCAUCUGACUCCAGGCUCCUUGAGCUGGCGGCAGGCCCGCAAUCCCCCGUUCCGUGCCCAGAUGCACUUCGGAAUAUAGAACAGCUGGGACUUGGAAAGAUAAUAUGUGGCACCCACCUGCUGUAGGUUACAUAACCUCCCAGCAGGGCUUGGGGCAGCAGCCGGCCAUCGAGCUUAUUUGCAUUUCUGCAGCAAAACAUGAAUAUUCACACAAGUGCGAUAAAUAAAGACCAUCAACAGCCUCAUAUCAGUUCAAGCGCAAUUUUGCCACCAAUUUGAUUACGAAAAAUCUUUCGGGCUUCCAGGGAGCUUUGGAGCCUGGAAAUUGCAGAUGAGGGAUGGGGGCCUGCACUGUUUCGCGGCUGGGGAGAGGGAGCUCAUCCGAAGUCUUCCGACAGAGGUGGGCGUCAUGCCCGACGCUGAGCGGAGUGGGUCUCCUCGAGCCCAGGCUCCCUGCGGGCGCUGUCCUCAGCGAGCCUCCCCGCCUCCGCGCCCGGGGUCGUACCUGCUUCACGAUCUCCUACCGCGGCGGGCCGCGUACCUCCUGGAUGGCCUCUUAGACGUUCUCUGAGUCGCUGCGCGACAGGGGCAGCAGGCACACCCAGGAGCCCGCUACGCUGCAGGCCUUGAAGCUGCCGCUGCUUCCGAGGUUGCCGGCGGGAGGCGAGACGACGGCGCGCGUCAGGUCGUCCAGGGACUGCGCGGGCCGCACGGGCGCCGUGGGCCGCAGGUACAGGCAGGCGGGCAGGCCGGGCGCCAGGCUGCUGCGCUGGCUCGCGGCGCCGCGCUGCGCAGGGCCGCACAGGGAGCUGGCCCCGCCUCGGGGCUCCGCUGGGGGGCCGUUGGGGGCCGCUGCCACAGCCGCGCUCACGAACCGGUAGUCGUAGGCGAGCGGCUCAGGGGCUGCGGGUCCCGAUGGGGGGACCUGGCGGCGCGUCAGCGGCAGGGUUGCCCAGCGCAGGCAGCUCGCGCACGUACUGCGCGGGCAGGUAGAAGGGGCGGCCGCCGGGCUUGCGCCGCACGUGCCACCAAUGCUCAGUGCUCUGUGCUGCGCCGCAGCGGCCGGUAGCGCUCAUUGGGCGGGAUGGCCACGCGGCGCCCGUCCUUGCCGGUGUACUCGAAGGGGUGCUCCACCAGUACGUACACGUCCCCCUCCACAUCCGCCGCCAUUGCGGCCGCGGCAUUUUCCUGCAGGCAACAAGGAAGAGGGCCGCGGAAGUCAAGACCACUGAGCCCGGAAUAGCCCAGCACUCGAGGAGAGACUUGGGUUCGAGUCCCGAUGCUGCACUUGCCGUUCGCCUUCGGGCCUCAGUUUUCCCAUUUCUAAAAUGAGGACUUGAAUAAAAUCACAUGCAAGGCUUCCAUUCUUACACUCAGUGCUGGAAUUAGGACAACCUCUUCAUUCCGUGGGGUUGAUUCUAAGAUUUCAGCCUCGCUUCAGUCCUGCGGUGGGGAGAUUGUGGGUAGUCUUGGUCCAAAUCGACUGCGAGGGAAACUUUGGCUUUAAAACGAGGGGUGAUUACCUGCUCUAAGGUCGACACCACGCUUGCUUGAUAGUUGACCGUGCCUUAGUUUUCCCGUCAGUCAAGUGGGAAGAGCAGCCCAUUUCCUGCCGCUCCCCGGGCCCUGUCCCGCCUGGACGCCUCCCUCCAGGAGCCUGCGCCCCGGCCCCGGGGUCAGGGUUGGGAUGCGGGCUCUGCAGGCGCCCCGGCGAACAGCUCUACCUGGAGGCUGUCCCUGCCCCGCUUAGUCCAAGGGCCUUGGUGUGGGGGCCUCCGCUGUCAAGGCGGGGGAACCGGUUCUCUCGGUUUCUCUCCCCUUCCCCAGCGGCUUCAACGCAGACGUGAGCCCGAGCCGGGCCCGCCCCCGCCCCCUGCUCUCCGGCUCUCACGCCGCCCCCCGAGAGAGGCUGCCCACCUGCCCUGUGACCCCUACAGUGUCCCCAAGAGAGUGGCCCCUGGAGAAUGCACUCUGAGACAGUGACUGUCCGUGCGGAGUCCCAAAGCAGGGGCCCUCAAAGCUCUCCGGAGUGGUCACAAGCCCCGCUCCCGCCCCGGCUGGGUGUGUCAGGGAUGGGGGAGAGCUUAACUAAAUCUGCCGGCGCCCCUCCACCAAAGCCAUGAGUCGGUGGUCUUCUCCGGAAGUGCAUGGCCCCUCCAAGCUCCCACACUGACCACAUCUCCUCCUGCCUCCUAAGGUGACCCAGGCCAAGGGCCAGGAGACCGCGGCUUGCCGAGGCUGAGGGACCGAAGGAGCAGGGUCCAAUCCGGGACUCCCGUAGGGCUCCUUCGCCACUUUGUCAAGCGUUCCUCGACUAGGAAAGGGUAUACACUUGAGUCACUAAGCACACUGGGCCCCGGAGGCGGGGUCAUCGAGCUGCCCAGAGCCAACAAACCCCAAGGUGGACACUGCCCCGGCGCCCCUUCCCCCCGGACCCCGCAGCGCACUCACGUCUGCUGGGCGGGCCUCAGGGAGCCCAAGGGCCGGGUGGGCGGGGCCGGCAGGUUAGGCCCGGACCAUCGCCCUGGGCGGGGCUUCCGAGGUGGUGCCGGAGAGGUUUCGCGGAAUCGGAGCUGGCAACGGCAGCGAAUAGGGACAGCGACGCUCAGGAGUGCUGUCACCCAUACCCAAAGAAGCUGCGUCUGGGCGGGGCGAGGAGGAACCUGAAUGCCUCUGCUGGGGACCUUGGGGGGCAUUGGGACGAGGACCGGAGCAGAAAGCCGGGGUCCGGAGCCAGGAAGGCUGCGUCUGAAGGGGCGCUGGCUGGUCGCUAGCGGAGCCCAAGGAGGGUGGGCCUCCCCUGUCCCGCCUUCCCCCUUCCCUUCUCCCCCGGGGAUUUGCUGUCCCGGAGUCCCUGCGUCCCUCCCGCCUGCGGCUCUGGGAAUGCCGGUCUGGGGCUGGUUGUCUAGUGCGGGCGUUCCCGUUCGCGGGGAGGUCAUUGGCACCCUGAAUCACCCACUGCGAGCCCUUCCAACCGGAUUGUAGACCUGCCAGCUCCGGGCCCACCUCCCCCAACAGGGCCUUUCCCGGAGCAACCCGGCCGGGCCUGGAAAAACUCCGAGAGGGAUUCCCAGCGCAGGGACGCCCACCGGAGCGCAGUGUCUCGGGCUGGAUAAGAAGGGGACCCGGCCACAGCUCCUUCGCCAACCUGCGGGAACACAGAGAAGGGGAGGGAUUGGUGGGGGCCGAGAGGAUCCCUGGAGCGCGAGAGCGCACCCGUCGCCAGGAGGUCCCCUGCGUCCACUGCCCAGGCGACGCAAGCUACAGCGGCGUCAACGCCUGGGUCGGCGCUAGGGGCCUGGGCCUGCUCC